rnacentral:rRNA from 1 species
UAUGGUUGUGUGCCAGCAGCCGCGGUAAUACGUAGGGAGCAAGCGUUGUCCGGAUUUACUGGGUGUAAAGGGUGCGUAGGCGGCUUUGCAAGUUAGAUGUGAAAUCUAUGGGCUCAACCCAUAAACUGCAUUUGAAACUGUAGAGCUUGAGUGAAGUAGAGGCAGGCGGAAUUCCCCGUGUAGCGGUGGAAUGCGUAGAUAUCGGGAGGAACACCAGUGGCGAAGGCGGCCUACUGGGCACCAACUGACGCUGAGGCUCGAAAGUGUGGGUAGCAAACAGG